rnacentral:tRNA from 24 species
GCGCCCGUAGCUCAGCUGGAUAGAGCGUUGGCCUCCGGAGCCAAAGGUCGAAGGUUCGAAUCCUUUCGGGCGUACCA